rnacentral:rRNA from 1 species
UACGUAGGGGGCAAGCGUUGUCCGGAAUUAUUGGGCGUAAAGAGCGUGUAGGCGGUCCGGUAAGUCAGCUGUGAAAGUCAAGGGCUCAACCCUUGAAUGCCGGUUGAUACUGUCGGGCUAGAGUCCGGAAGAGGCGAGUGGAAUUCCUGGUGUAGCGGUGAAAUGCGCAGAUAUCAGGAAGAACACCUAUGGCGAAGGCAGCUCUCUGGGACGGUACUGACGCUGAGACGCGAAAGCGUGGGGAGCGAACAGG